UGAGGUCAGUUGUGUUUUCUCAGGUUUACGUAGGAAUGACAAUUGUUUUCAGAAGCAAAAAACUUGAAUUGGAAAUGGAACCCUUGAUGGAUUGAUGUUUGCUGAAGAAAGUUCUUGCAGCAAAGAAGAACAUGAAGCAGUCCAACCAGCUGCUCCGAGAGGAACCAAGGCGACGUGCAAGUUGGCGUCUGUGAAGCUUUGUCGGAGCCAUUCCUGCUCUUCCAGAGCCACAAGGAGAGCCUAAAAGUCAGGGCAGAAGCGUGUCCGGCUGUCGUACGAGAAGAAGUGUGCACGCCUGAGGAGCCAGGGCGCCGAUGGUGCGGAGUCGUUCGCCAUCAAGAGGACCAAAGCUGCCAUCAGUGACCACCGGAUCAAGCUCAACAUCUCCCUCGCCUCCGUCAACGCCCUGUUCCAGAGGGUCGUCGUCGUCCAUGAUGAGCCUGCAGCUCGCGGAGCUCAUCCAAAUACGGGCAAAGACGUGGCGACUCAUCGGCGACAUGCACCGGGUGAUGUAGCGCAUAGCGGACGAGGCGAGCGUGCUCCUCUCGUUGUUGGCCACAUGGCUGGAGGGAGGCAUCAAGGGCUCGCUGCUACCGGGGCGGACAUGCGCACAAUUUAUAUUGAUAUAUCUUAUUUUGCCAAACAGCAAGAUAUAUGCUCAUGAUGCUAUUAACCUGACAGAGAAUUUCAGUUUCUUUCGCAUGAUACA